rnacentral:rRNA from 1 species
AGAGUUUGAUCAUGGCUCAGGAUAAACGCUGGCGGCGCGCAUAAGACAUGCAAGUCGAACGGAAGUCGUUAUAAAAGGAGAGAAGAUUUAUCGGAUUGAAUUUUAUAACAAUGGCUUUAGUGGCGGACUGGUGAGUAACGCGUAAGGAACCUACCUAUUAGAGGGGAACAACAAUGAGAAAUCAUUGCUAAUACCGCAUAUGCCAUAACUACCGCAUGGUAGAAGUUGGAAAGGAGUAAUUCGCUGAUAG